UCCCUCUUCCCAACCUUCUUUCCCGGACUCCCAAUCCCCUGAGGCCCAUCAUAGGGUCCCCUUAGAACUUUCCGUCCCCCCUCCUGCCGAGUACCCUAAGAUUUCAACCAAUUAGCCGGGUCGGGGACUGCAUGUUGGCUGUCUUGCCUAAGGAAGUGCCUUGGCAGAAAAGGAGGAAGAAGGGCUCUGGAGGGAAUAGGGAAGGGAGUUGUUCUGAGAGCCCCUCCCUUCAACUUAGUAGGCAAAACAACCAAUUUUUUCAAGGACAGAACUGAGGGGAUGGCAUCCACAUCUGCCAGGAGUGGGGACAAAAAGGACAUCAGGUCAUCUCAAGCUGCCGCCUCCUUAGGUGGAGGGCAGAAAGUCUCAUUAUCCUGCUCUGAAGAAUUCCUGACCCGAAUCAGCACAGAACUUACAGACGAAGCACUGUUUAUUGCUCGCUCCCGUUUGAGUCCUCUGCCCAAUAAGGAAAAGAACACAAAAGACCAAGGGACUCAGAUAUCUAGACAUGCUCUGACAAAAAUCGAACCCGAACCAAGGCACACCUUCUGCCAUCUCCUCGUGAAAAGGGACCACUCCCCAACAGCCUGACAACUGGAGGAUGAGCUCGGCCCUCCCUAGUACUGCUCUCUCAGCUUCUUGCCUUCCCCCACUAUGUCCCUCAGUGAAAACCUCAAAGCCCCUCUUUUGCAACUAGCUAAGCCUCUCAUCUUGGGAGGAACUCCUGGUCAUAAGCAAUGCCACCUUUGAAACCAAGAAAAUCUUCUGGAACUGUCGCGGGGCCCUCCACCCUUCGUGGGCAAAUGCUACUGAGAAGAAAAGGUUUUAAUAAAGAACCAGGAUCCUCCCUU
ensembl:lincRNA